UGCGUUGUUUUUUUAUUCGCGAUUUGGUAUGCAUAAAGUAUGCAUUUAGCAUAGGGACCGAAGCGACACGCGUUGGCGAUUCGGUCACUAUCCGUUAGUCAGGCCUCAACCGUCUGCUGUUAGAGUAAUGGUCGAUCGUCGCGUGAAGCCUAGGUUUCUCGUAAAAAAAAUUAGAGUCAGUGGAUUAGUCCGAUCGGGGGGAAACCACUUAAAACAAAAAUCGUGAAAAGUUCCACCUUAAAAGUUCUACUUUUCCCUAUUCUUUUCCUAUUCCUUUUAAUAUUUUCUUUGCAGGAUAAACUAUGAUGCCAAAUUCCGUCCAAGAGAAGAAGGAAACGAACCUUAGGAGGACUGAGUUAUGAUAACAAUUCCGACCAAGAGGAAGGGGAUGUGGAUUAGAAGAUGGACCAGAAGUGGACUAAGUUAUGGUAAAUGGUAGUAAAAAAUAAUUAUUUCUAUAAGUAAAUGAAUAUUUUUAAUCAGUUUAUUGUUUCAUAUAACCAUUCCGUCCAAGAGGAGAGGAAAGUGGAUUAGAAGAUGACUAGAAGAGGACAGAGUAAUGGUAAACGAUGCCACGGAUCAACCAAAAAUUAUAUGCAUUUAUUUU
rnacentral:lncRNA from 1 species